CAGUAGCCGCGGUAAUACGAAGGGGGCUAGCGUUGCUCGGAAUGACUGGGCGUAAAGGGCGCGUAGGCGGUUUGUACAGUUGGAUGUGAAAUUCCUGGGCUUAACCUGGGGGCUGCAUUCAAUACGUGCAGGCUUGAGUGUGGAAGAGGGUUGUGGAAUUCCCAGCGUAGAGGUGAAAUUCGUAGAUAUUGGGAAGAACACCGGUGGCGAAGGCGGCAACCUGGUCCAUUACUGACGCUGAGGCGCGAAAGCGUGGGGAGCAAACAGGAUUAGAUACCCCCGUAGUCCCUGUCUCUUAUAC
rnacentral:rRNA from 1 species